rnacentral:rRNA from 1 species
CCCUGAUGGAGCGACGCCGCGUGGAGGAUAAGGUCUUCGGAUUGUAAACUCCUGUCAUGUGUGAACAAGGUUGCAGGGCUAACACCUUUGCAAAUUGAUGGUAACACAAGAGGAAGAGACGGCUAACUCUGUGCCAGCAGCCGCGGUAAUACAGAGGUCUCAAGCGUUGUUCGGAAUCACUGGGCGUAAAGGGUGCGUAGGUGGCGUGGUAAGUCAGAUGUGAAAGCCCCGGGGGCUCAACCUCGGAAUUGCAUCCGAUACUGCCAUGCUCGAGUACUGAAGAGGUGACUAGAAUUCUAGGUGUAGCAGUGAAAUGCGUAGAUAUCUAGAGGAAUACCAAAGGCGAAGGCAGGUCACUGGGCAGUUACUGACACUGAGGCACGAAGGCCAGGGUAGCGAACGGGAUUAGAUACCCCGGUAGUCCUGGCAGUAAACGGUGCACGUUUGGUAUGGGCGCAAUCGACCGCGCCCGUGCCGGAGCUAACGCGUUAAACGUGCCGCCUGGGAAGUACGGUC